UUUGUGUUAGACCACAUGCCACAUACUACUAGAUAAUAAAAUGUCAAUGAUGGUAAAACAUGAUUACCUAUUUCAACUUUUUCGCUGUAGGUGACGGCUACAGUUGACCCCCGGCCCCUGUCAUCUCCAGAAGCCAUUGGAUCAGAAGGCGGUCUUAUCAAAGAACGUGACAUUCAUCUAUUCAUACCAGCUAACAGCCUGCGAGAAGUGAAGGAUAUCAGUAUAAGGCUACAAAAGUCAUCGAGCUACUUGACGAUGAUUCGGAAAUCCGGACUUGACGACAUUUUGUCUUGUUUCCGACUAAUCGAAUGUCAGCCCGACCAUCUGCAGUUUCAAAACCCGGUAGACGUGACAGUCUUGAACACUCGUGUUCCUCAGAGUCAUAAUUUUAUUUUGUUUGGACAAGAAACUUCCACUGUGGCUGAAGGCACAUGGAAGGAUCUUUCAGAGGAGUGUUUGGUAAAGCGUUCUGCCUCAAACGUGUUGUUUAAACUGUAACACUUUAGCAUAUACAUCCUGGUCGCCGUCAUAAGUUCUGUGGCCCUAUCGUCAGCAAGCAAACGGCUCCUUGACUGCUUAAAUGGCAAGUCAUUCCCAUGCAGCUUUACCCCGUACGUUGGAAAGAUAUCUGGGAAGAAACAUCCUCUCACAAUCGUUUGCAAAGAAGGAUACAACGCCUCAACGUCCACGCCAAGAAUGUACCAGCGGUUCGGACUGGCCAGGACCUCCGAGUUCAACAUAUUUGAUGAAGAGAGGCUAUCUGUCGAGAUUACGCAUCUUGCCUUGGUCAAGAGAUGUGCGGAUACGUAUCAGAUAAACAGAGCAACGUGCAAGACAGACGAAGGGCAGGCAAUGGAUUUGAUUGUGGAGCCAGAGAAAGAGGAGGCAAUUCUAACCGGCCAGGCAGUGAUAUCCGUGUCGAGGUUCCUUGGAGCAAGCGUGAGGAAGAUCUGUACUCUGAACCUCACACCUCAGAGUGUCGGUCCUGAUCAUCUCGUGACAGGAAACAUCGUUCCAGUUUCAGUCGAAGAGGUAGGGGCGAUGCCUAGCAUGACCAUCAAAGCUGCAGAAAUGCAAUAUACAGCCCCUGCUGACCACCCUAGCA